AACGCAUAUUGCGGUCGAGGCUUCUGCCAAGACCAUGUCUGCCUCAGCGUCGGGUUUAUAUCACUCUCCUUAUACAUUGUAUAAGUACUCAGAGAGUGGACCUGGCCGUUCCAGCUAGGCCGGGUGCUUUCUUAUGAAUGCGCCCACAAAGCUCUGGAUCGGCUGAAGAUCAGAGUUCCGAUCGAGGACCCGUCAAGGGCCGCAACUGGGUGGGCAUUUCCAAUGCUAAGCUUUAGUUGUUGGCCUGGGAUUUCGGUUGUCGACCUCAAACAGGAAAACCCACAACUUUAUAUUCUCGACCUGAGCUCAGGCAAGAACACCCGCUGAACUUAA
rnacentral:misc_RNA from 1 species